CUAAAAUGCACAGGUCGUGAGUUCGAUGAGUAGGGCGGGACACGUGACAUCCUGUCUGAAUAUGGGGGGACCAUCCUCCAAGGCUAAAUACUCCUGACUGACCGAUAGUGAACCAGUACCGUGAGGGAAAGGCGAAAAGAACCCCGGCGAGGGGAGUGAAAUAGAACCUGAAACCGUGUACGUACAAGCAGUGGGAGCACCUUCGUGGUGUGACUGCGUACCUUUUGUAUAAUGGGUCAGCGACUUAUAUUUUGUAGCAAGGUUAACCGUAUAGGGGAGCCGUAGGGAAACCGAGUCUUAACUGGGCGAAUAGUUGCAAGGUAUAGACCCGAAACCCGGUGAUCUAGCCAUGGGCAGGUUGAAGGUUGGGUAACACUAACUGGAGGACCGAACCGACUAAUGUUGAAAAAUUAGCGGAUGACUUGUGGCUGGGGGUGAAAGGCCAAUCAAACCGGGAGAUAGCUGGUUCUCCCCGAAAGCUAUUUAGGUAGCGCCUCGUGAACUCAUCUUCGGGGGUAGAGCACUGUUUCGGCUAGGGGGCCAUCCCGGCUUACCAAACCGAUGCAAACUCCGAAUACCGAAGAAUGUUAUCACGGGAGACACACGGCGGGUGCUAACGUCCGUCGUGAAGAGGGAAACAACCCAGACCGCCAGCUAAGGUCCCAAAGUCAUGGUUAAGUGGGAAACGAUGUGGGAAGGCAUAGACAGCCAGGAUGUUGGCUUAGAAGCAGCCAUCAUUUAAAGAAAGCGUAAUAGCUCACUGGUCGAGUCGGCCUGCGCGGAAGAUGUAACGGGGCUAAACCAUGCACCGAAGCUGCGGCAGCGACGUUUAGGCGUUGUUGGGUAG
rnacentral:rRNA from 1 species